rnacentral:lncRNA from 10 species
CGAGAACUCACUCAUUACCACAAGAAGGGCACCAGGCCAUUCAUGAGAGAUCCGUCCCCAUGAUCCAAACACCUCCCACCAGGCCCCACCGCCAACACUGGGGAUCACAUUUUGACAUGAGAUAUGGAGGGGGCAAACAUCCAAACCAUAAUUAAUGGGCACAAGGUCACAUAGCCAGUGAGUGGCCAAACCAGGAUUUGAACCUGAACAGCCUGGCCCUGGAGCUUCUGCUGCUAUCUGAUAGACCUUUCUAGAUAAGCUAGCAAACACUGAGCCCUUAUUAUGUGUCAGGCACCGUUCUGAGCCUUUUAUUCAUGCAGUCUUCAUUAUUAAUUCCAUUUUACAGAUAAGAAAACUGAGACACAGAAAAGUCACACAAGAUUAUCGAGGUCAACACAGAGAACAGUGGAACCUGCACCUGACCCCAGGCAGGCGGAACCUUCAUGACCACACCACACCACCACAGGGAACAGGCAGGGAAAACAAUGGGUCUAGCAGGACAAAAGUGACAUUUCCCAGAGUUUCUUGCUGUUUGGAUCUGGCUGCAGUUUCAGUUUUGCCAAGAAGAGGCAUUUCCAUGAGCUCUGGACAGUGGCAGAGAGGCAGAGGUGCUCCACUGCAGUGUGCUGGAUGGUCCACGGGCUCCUGCCAAUGUGAGGAUUUGCAGCAACUGGUAUAUCCAUGGUCUUGUCACCAGCUUCCUGAAUUCGGGGCAGCUGGAGCCACACUAGUGGUCCUUCCUUGCAGGGGCAGCAGCUGUCUCCUG